GGGCGCGUAGCUCAGUGGGAGAGCACUGCCUUCACACGGCAGGGGUCGCUGGUUCGAAACCAGCCGCGCCCA
rnacentral:tRNA from 1 species